GUCUUUCCUGUUGUUUGCCUCUCAAAAUAUACAAUAAGCAAGAGUUAUUCGCAAUUUCAACUUUUUCAUGUAGAAAAUCAUUUAUUUGGUCUCUGGCCUCUAUUUUUAAUAAUAAAUUAAUAUAACUAUAUUUGAUAUUGUUCUAUAGUGAAUAGUUUUGAGCAAAGGAGAAAAAUAGAAUAGAGGAAAAAGUGUACAGGAUAAACAAAUAUUUUUCCAUUCUUCUACUUUUGAAGCAACUAAAAAAAUUAACCAGGAACAGAUGAGUGAGGAAGCCAAUAAUAUUAUUGAGAACACAAGAAGUACAAAAGAAUAUUUUGAUUAUGGAAAGUUUAUUGAAAACAGAUUAAUGAUCUUCUCUUUAAGAACUGAAGAGUUUGUCCAAUAUGAAUUUUCCAAAAAUAUUUUGAAUGUCACCCAAGGAUAUUAUGAAUGAAUUCAGUACAUUAUAUUAACUCUAGUAUAAUUUAAUUUUAUUCAAUUUAAUUUAAUGAUACUCAUGCAUCAUGAUAAUAAUUAAUGUACAAUCCUAAUUUUUCCGCCAUCACUAUUUUUCUCAAUCCUAAUUUUAUUAAAUGCUGUAAAAACAGUAUUAUAGUAUCAGACCCAAAUAAAGGUGUAGGAGGCAUGGAUUAACUACAAGAUUUAUGGUCCGUAUUUAAUAGAAUUCGAACUGGACAGGNUGAAUGAAAUCAGUGCAUUAUAUUAAUUCUAGUAUCAUUUAAUUUUAUUCAAUUUAAUUUAAUGAUACCCAUGCAUCAUGAUAAUAAUUAAUGUACAAUCCUAAUUUUUCCGCCAUUACUAUUUUCCUCAAUACUAAUUUUAUUAAAUGCUGUAAAAACAGUAUUACAGUAUCAGACCCAAAUAAAGGUGUAGGAGGCAUGGAUUAACUACAAGAUUUAUGGUCCGUAUUUAAUAGAAUUCGAACUG